rnacentral:tRNA from 1 species
CCGCCACCGGUACGGCGGCGCAGGUGCUCGCGGCGUGCGACGCCGUCGACUACCUCGAUGGGUGGCGCCGCGACUCGGCCCUCGCGUUGGCGGU